rnacentral:misc_RNA from 1 species
AAUUUUGUGUAAAUGUAUAGAUCAAACUUCAAAGUACCAGGUGACUUACUGAUAGUGUCGCAGAAGUGAAGGCGAACGAGAUGAUUAGUUUUCUUCCUCACAUUGAAACGCCAAGUUAUAUAAGAAUAAUUUGAUGCCACACUAGUAUCUAUGCUCACUUCUUUGCAAGUCCUGUACACAAGGUCUGGGGCCAUAUCUUGAACCACCGUCGCUCCAGGAGCAUGAUUAAGCUUACCUACUUCCAGGGUCUUCUGCUAGAAACUGUGCUUUUUAUUCUGGAAGGAUCAUCCCCCACCCAGUCCCUCCAGAAUGGAUCAUUUGAUAUAUUAGUAUCCUGUCCAACAUCGAUCCUAUAGAGUGUCUGGAAAGCAUGGAACAGAAAACCAUGGAAAGUACCAUUUCCAGUUCCUAUGGGUGGGACUGCAACGGCAUAUUCAUCCUUGAUGAAGUCCUGAGGAAGAAUAAGGACUUCCAAGGCAUUAAGAAAAGCAAAAGACGUCUCUGUAC